rnacentral:rRNA from 1 species
AUGGGCUAGUGAUGUCGGGCUAGCACUGAACACGGAGGAAGUGGCGGGGUACUUAGACAUCUGGCCCACGAUCACGGUGGUUCAGCUGGACGAUAAGCAGCUGACCGUAUCGCUUGGUCCUAGGAGAAGGACGGCGCCUUCGCCAAGUCGGCCUAUGCGGCUAAGUUUGCUACUCGAGAAGUGUCGCCCACCACGGCAUUCACAUGGCGCUCGUGUACCCCGCUCCGGUAUCGAUUCUUAGCACAACUUGCGAUCAUGGACCGCUGCUGGACAUUGGACAGAUUGGCACAGAGAGGGCUACCGCACCAGGACUCGUGCCCUUUCUGUGAUCAGCACUACGAGACAAUUGGCCACCUGCUCCCUGAGUGCAUUCUGGCGAGGGAAGUGUGGGCCAAGGUGUUCACGGCCAUAGGCGUUCCGCAUGGCGCACCGCAAGUAGGAGAGCCUCUGCCGGAUUGGUGUGCCCGACAAGGUUCACACGGGCGUCAGGCGAGGAUGAUACGGACCUUGUGCCUCCUUGUCAUGGGGGGGGGGGUAUGGAAGCACCGGAAUGCCAUAGUCUUAGACAGGGCACUGGCCAGCCUCCGGCAGGUUCUACACCGGGUUGCGAGCGAGAGCAAGGUUUGGAGGCAGGCGGGACUGCUACGAGGAGAGCUGGAUACGUUCUUCGUAGGGACACUGGAGUGGGCUCAUCGAGAAUAA